UACGUAGGGGGCAAGCGUUGUCCGGAAUCAUUGGGCGUAAAGAGCGUGUAGGCGGCCCGGUAAGUCCGCUGUGAAAGUCGAGGGCUCAACCCUCGAAUGCCGGCGGAUACUGUCGGGCUAGAGUCCGGAAGAGGCGAGUGGAAUUCCUGGUGUAGCGGUGAAAUGCGCAGAUAUCAGGAGGAACACCGGUGGCGAAGGCGGAUCUCUGGGCCGAUACUGACGCUGAGGAGCGAAAGCCAGGGGAGCGAACGGG
rnacentral:rRNA from 1 species